rnacentral:lncRNA from 1 species
UUUGUUAAAUUUAAAAUUUUCAUUCAAAAUUAAAAUAAAAUUUUGAUUUAGAAUUCAAACUUUUAAUUGAAAUGAUAAAUAUGUAAGUAAAUUACUGUUAGGUGCCGAAUUCUCUUCUCUUUGACUCGGUUAAAGAUCUUUCUCGGGAAGCGCGUCGGGAUGCAAAAUGGCUACGAUUAGUGACCCUCGAAGUUUGCGCCAUUCGGCUGGAUCAAGCGAUUCGGCUGAUGAGGGAUCGAAUCAGCCGAGUUCGAAGACAAAUAUUAUAGAACAUGCAGGUUCGGCUGAAUGAGUCGAAUAGAUGAAAUAUACGAGAUUUGGAUCGGCUGAUGAGCCGAAUAGAUGGAAUACACAGUAACUGGUCGGCUGAAAGAGCCGAAUGCCUUUAUAUAUUAAAAUGAAGUCGGGAAUUCAUACAAAACAGAGUAUGCCUGAAGGGCAUACAGACUUUAAAAAUCUAGAUUAUAAAAGAGUAUGCCUGUGGGGUAUACUGACUCCAAAAAUCUAACUUAAAAAUUACUCAUAGGAAAGCAGUAAAUGCGGGUAUAAAGAUUACAUGUAGACUACUCCUAGAAAGCGAUAAAUACAGGAAGGAAAGUAUGGAAAAUGCGGCGGUCUUCUCGUUUAGGGGAGAGAAAGACCCCUUUUACAGGUUUCAAAGUUACUAUUUAU